UCCGAGUUGUCCCCGGCAGUCUCCUACGAGUCCCCACCAUUACGUGCUGGCAACAUAGGACGAGGGUUGCGCUCGUUGCGGGACUUAACCCAACAUGUCACCACACGAGCUGACGACAGCCAUGCAGCACCUGUCACUCUGUCGUAUUGCUACGAAAGCCGUAUCUCUACGGUUGUCAGAGGAUGUCAAACCCAGGUAAGGUUUUUCGCGUUGCUUCGAAUUAAACCACAUGAUCCACCGCUUGUGCGGGCCCCCGUCAAUUCCUUUGAGUUUUAGUCUUGCGACCGUACUCCCCAGGCGGGGUACUUAUCGCGUUAGCUCCGGCUCCGCAGGGGUCAAGACCCGCGAAACCUAGUACCCAUCGUUUACGGCGUGGACUAC
rnacentral:misc_RNA from 1 species